AUCCUAUAUCAGGUGAAAGUUUUAUCUGGGCUCUACAUCCAUCCUAUAUCAGGUGAAGGUUUUAUCUGGGCUCUGCAUCCAUCCUAUAUCAGGUGAAGGUUUUAUCUGGGCUCUGCAUCCAUCCUAUAUCAGGUGAAGGUUUUAUCUGGGCUCUGCAUCCAUCCUAUAUCAGGUGAAGGUUUUAUCUGGGCUCUGCAUCCAUCCUAUAUCAGGUGAAGGUUUUAUCUGGU